CAGUGUAAUGAAGUAAAUGACUAACUGAAUAGAUGAAGAUUGAACUGUGUCCUACAAGGUGAAGACCUGAAUGCUCAUGAACUGAGAAGGAAAGCAAAUUCCUAAACAGGAAGACCUCCCUCUAGCAAUAACAGCACCUGCCAGAAUAUGUCAGCUCUGAAGCCAAGACACCACUGGCCACAACCUCCAUCAGGAAUGUUAUGUCCUGGGCAGAUGCAGCAACAGACAUCCAGGGGUCUCAGUAGAAGCUGCUGAGAAAAGAAGGAGUGUGGAUUUGGAAGGACUAAGGCUGAGACAAUGAAUUAAUCUCAGACUCUUUCCUGAGGGGAAAAAGGCAACAUCUAAAAUUAUAAAGACCUAAGAAAGAAAAAAAUCAAAUGAUGAAUGGCUAGCAUUCUGUAUCCAUCAUAUUAUUGAUUUCCAACAACGAUCUCAUGUUUAUAGAUGAAGCUUCAAGAGGUUAAGUACCUUGCUUGAGUUCACUCACUCAAAGUCCAGAUUCAGAUCUGUUUGACUCCAAAGCUAGUGUUCUUCUUUCUCUAACUCUGCUAAUUCUGGCUUCAUAUAUGCACCAUAAUUUGUUGCCAACUAAUGAGGAGGACACAGAGCACAAGACUCCAGAAGUAAGGAUAUUUAAAGUCAGAGGGGCUAGAGAUACUUCUGAGAAGCUUGUCUUGUUGGAUAUUUCUGGCCAGAAUGUGAGAGAGAGGGUGCAGACACUGAAAGGAGGGAGCUAUGUAGAGGUACUGCACCCUAGAUGAUUGUACUAGAGUCAAGCAGCUGUCCUGACCAGUGGGUAAUCUGUUCUUGGAUCAGGAACUGAGUCUAGGGUACAAAUGCAUUAAUUUAGAAAACUUGGCAGAGAAGGGCGUAGAGGGCAGUUUAGCGGCCAUGGAAGGGCCUGGUAGUGAUCUCAGGGACCAGGAUAUCAGUUUCAUCACUAGGGUGGCAAACUGUGCUAAUUUACCCAGGACUGUGAGUUUUCUGGAACACCGGACUUUCAGUGUUAAAAUUAGGAAAGUCCUAGGCAAACUGGAAUAUAUGAUCACCUGGUCAUAGCACCAAGAAGGUACCCAGCCCCCAUCAACCAGAGAUGUGAACAUUACAUUGGUUCUUUCCUCUUGCUCACACCCCUCCCUCCUUCCAUCCUUAAGUGCUCUCGAUUUUACUUGCCUUUGAAUGUCUGUCAUCUCCUUCAUCCCCAUGACCACUGUUUUUGUUCAGGCUCUCACCAUCUCUCACUAUUUCGAGGGUCUCCUAACUGGUCUCUGUAUCCAUUCCUGACAACUUCCACAAUGCUGAAUGCUCCACAAUGCCACCAGAGGGCUCUUCUCAAAUGAAACAGAACGUGUCACUCCUGUUCAGACAUAUCAAGAGCUCUCCACUUGGGAAAGGAGAGAGUCCAAUCUUUCUCCAUAAUUUAAAAGACCCUACAGACUCUAAUGCCAGCCUAUAUCAUCAGCCUCUUUUCUCUACACCAGCCUGCAUCACACUUCAUGCUUGUCUAUAAAACAGACCCUACCCAAAAAAACCAAACCAAUCCUAAACAAAACAUGUGUUCUUACACUUCCAAGCCUCUGCCUUCUGCCUGAGACAUUCUUCCAAGCUUUGUCCAUGUAUAAAAUUCCUAUUCAUCAUUCAAAAUAUUUUGCAAUGUGUAGAAAUAAAUACUAAUGAAAAUGUCUUUAGGGAGAGGCUUCUCUGUGGCUGGAAAGAAUAUAUUGAUAAACUGCUUGGAGUGGGAAGUGACUUCCAUGCUGUGUAACAGUUGAAUAAGACUUUAUGUCAGAUAGUAUAAUCCAAUAUCUUGAAAGUGUUCACUUAAAAAUCACACAAUUUAUAAAUUUAGAAAGGAGACAUUAUUUCUUAUAAAGGGUUACAGCCUGCAAGUUGGACAUUCUUACAGGCUAAGAAGCAUAACCUCCAGUCAAAGUCAUUAGCAGGCACUUCAAGGGAAGGAAGGGUGGAACAGGGAUUUACGUUGAAUAUCUUGGCCAAGUAUACAUAUUCAACAGGUUACAGGAGGAGCUGUGAAUAUUCAUGAAGGUGGUCCUAAUGCAUAUGUAUUGAAUAAACAUACAUGUUACAUAGGACCCAUUAGGAGACUUAACAUUUAAAUGUAUUAAAAGUAGGCCCUAUAGGUCAAAAGAUGAAGUAGAGACAUGAAGACACUCAAGUGUGUAAACUGGCCAGAACCAGUCCUUGGUUUGCCGUCUCUUAUCACUGGAAAGUUGCAGGAAUCAGUACCUUGUUAGAUCAAAGCUGUUGUUACGGGUUGUGGAACAGGGUGUCGGUUAGUCAUCAUCUGGCAGUGAGCUGCAAUUCUUUCAAUAUUGCUUAUCUCAAGGUCAGUGCUUGUUUAGCUGAUAAAGCAAAAGAAAAACCAUGUAGCAGUUAGAACACAGUUUAUUCUUUAAGUUCAGGGGUGCAUGACUUAACUCUUGCAUGGCAUGGCCUUAGGUCAUGUUUAUGAUUUGGUAUCUUAUUGCCACAAAGAAUCUAUUCUGCUAGUCUUACGAUCUUUAUUUUAAUGUUAAUGCUGGUCAGUUUUUGUGUCUAAAUUGCAAAAGGGAGUGGGUAUAAUGAGGUGUGCCUGACCUCCUGUGCAGGCAUGGCCAGAAACUCAGUAUUUAAGGUUUCUCUGGGGUCCCCUUGGCCAAGAGAGGUGUCCAUUCAGUUGGCUGAAGGGCUUAGGAUUUUAUUUUUAGCUUAUAUUAGGUUGGUGCAAAAGUAAUUGCGGUCUUUGCCAUUAAAAGUAAUGGCAAAAAUGCAAUUACUUUUGCACCAAUCUUAUAAAAGCAGAAUGCCUACAUAUGUCUACAAGCCACAUAGUGUGCAUCAGGACUGAGUCUAUUUUUUAGCGUUUGUCCCAAUAACAAAAGAUGGAACCAUAUAUUUCUCAGAAAAUAAAAUUUUAAUUUAAUUUAAAAUUUUAUAUUCACUGUUUAUCAACCAAUACUUAA
rnacentral:lncRNA from 10 species